UGGUCAGUGUAGUGGAUAAAAUGGGAUAAAAUUGCAAUUAUUAUCCCAAUGAUUUAUAUUUUAAAAUGUUGAAAGAUAAGAAACUUAUCUGAGAUUGACAUUUUGUGAUUAUAGGUGGCAUUAUGCUAGAAACUAAAGAGUCAACAAAAAACGAUAUACGUGUUGUAUGAGUUCAUGCUAUACAAUUCAUCGCUGAAUACGAAAACUUUCUACACUCGUCAAAAGCAGAUAUUAUAAUUCGAGGAUUGAGGCAGAAGAAAUAUUUGAAAAUGAAACUUCCAACAGUGUAACAAAAUCAAGCAUGAGAGUGGAGAAAAAACGAUGCCAGAUUGAAGAUGGCGUGAUGAAAUUGAACGUAGUUGAAGCACCUAGCGUACGCUCGAGAGUUUUGGAUGAGGACUUGUGGACAAAUGAAAACAAGAAUGAUUCCAAGCAUGUUGACAGUGUGAAGAGAAAUCUGAUUUCGAAAGUAUAGAGGAAGCAAUCACCACGAGAGAUUUGCAAGAAAAAAUCAAAGUGUACUCUGCAAACUUUGUAUAUAAAUGUGGAGUAUUGUGAGAAGAGUACUCUUAGGAAUGUUAUUCACGAGAGAUAGUAUAAGGACCAACGGAGAAUGUGGCCCCUUCUCCGUGAGAUUGUAGAAGAAUGUUUUCGACUAUUGUAUGUACUAACUGUAUGUAUGUGUAACUAAACUUGAAAAUAAUGUAAACUAUUUUUUUUUGCUCAAUAAAUAUGAAUAAAGACUUA